rnacentral:rRNA from 1 species
UACGUACUGUGCGAACGUUAUUCGGAAUCACUGGGCUUAAAGGGUGUGUAGGCGGCCGUUUAAGUAGGGUGUGAAAGGCCUCGGCCUAACCGAGGCAUUGCGCUCUAAACUGAUCGGCUUGAGUGAGAUAGGGGUGUGCGGAACUUCCAGUGGAGCGGUGAAAUGUGUUGAUAUUGGAAGGAACGCCGGUGGCGAAAGCGGCACACUGGGUCUUGACUGACGCUGAGACACGAAAGCCAGGGGAGCGAACGGG